UCUGUUCAUGGGCCUAUAUUACUUUCUUGUUUAGUUAGCAAUUUUUUAUGUUCUAAUCGGAUUAAUCAUUAUAUUCAGCAAUUUAUAUUUUAAUGUUAAACUUCUGUUGAUUUUCUUUUUCUCAUUGUACUGUAUGUUAGGCAACUAUGAUCAUUAAUCGUGUUGCCAAAGCUGUCGUUGAUUAUUUUUUUGGAGUUUUCUGUUACAUUUGAGUCUUCAUCACGUGUUCCAGACAAAAAAAAAAAUUUGAAGAUUACAAGGAUGAAAAUCUCAGGUCAGAGGAGACAUAACUCGAAGAACCUUGGUAAUUUAGCAACUAGAAUAUUGGAUUUUGGACGGAACAGGGUAUGAAUAAGGGAUUUCUAAUAAAGCAUUUUAAAAGCAAAA